CUUAUGUGUAAAAGGUGCCUUUAUGUAUUUUAAAGUGUUUUGUGUCUUUUUGCAACCAUGUGCUUAAUGGAGUCUUGUGUCUGUCCUGGGAGAUAAUUGAAUUACUUCUCAAUUCAAUCUCCAGGAUAGAAGACUCUGAAACUGGUUUGGGCCGGAAAGCCAUGCUUCAUUUAGUCACAAAGGACUUUCCCUUAACUUUUGAACCCCUGGUCUGAUUCGUGCCAUUUUUUAAUAUGUUGUUCCCCUGAAUGGAUU